ACAGAUUGAACUCAAGAUGACCACCGUCAUGACUCCGGUUUGCCUUUUCCUCCUCUUCCUCUCGGCGAUAGCCGCUCCUCGGCUUGCAAUGGUUGAUGAACUUCAAACAGGAGAACUGGAAACAGAAUCAACCGCUGAAGAAAUCGAGAGAGCGAACGAAAA